CCAGACGGUCGGACGGCCGCUGACCCUCCCGCUUUCGGGCAGAGGGGUUGGAGGAAAGUCCGGGCUCCACGGGAAUACGGUGCCGGCUAACGGCCGGCGGGGGCGACCCCAGGGAUAGUGCCACAGAAAACAAACCGCCCUUCCACCAUGCUUCGGCAUGAUCCGAAGGGCAUGGGUGAAACGGUGCGGUAAAAGCGCACCGCGCCCCCGGCAACGGGGGUGGCAGGGCAAACCCCACCGGGAGCAAGACCGAAUAGGGGCGGCCAGCGAGGCCCGUGUGCUCAGGACCGCAAGGUCAUGGGAUUUCAUGGGCCGGCGCAGGAGCAUUCCCGCUCCGCUGCCCGGGUUGGUCGCGUGAGGCGUGCAGCGAUGUACGUCCCAGAGGAAUGGCCGUCUCAUCCGCUUCUUUGGAAACGGGUGGACAGAACCCGGCUUACAGGCCGUCUGGCGCU
rnacentral:RNase_P_RNA from 21 species